rnacentral:rRNA from 1 species
GGUGAACGCUGGCGGCGUGCUUAAUACAUGCAAGUCGAGCGAACGGACGAGAAGCUUGCUUCUCUGAUGUUAGCGGCGGACGGGUGAGUAACACGUGGAUAACCUACCUAUAAGACUGGGAUAACUUCGGGAAACCGGAGCUAAUACCGGAUAAUAUUUUGAACCGCAUGGUUCAUAAGUGAAAGACGGUCUUGCUGUCACUUAUAGAUGGAUCCGCGCUGCAUUAGCUAGUUGGUAAGGUAACGGCUUACCAAGGCAACGAUGCAUAGCCGACCUGAGAGGGUGAUCGGCCACACUGGAACUGAGACACGGUCCAGACUCCUACGGGAGGCAGCAGUAGGGAAUCUUCCGCAAUGGGCGAAAGCCUGACGGAGCAACGCCGCGUGAGUGAUGAAGGUCUUCGGAUCGUAAAACUCUGUUAUUAGGGAAGAACAUAUGUGUAAGUAACUGUGCACAUCUUGACGGUACCUAAUCAGAAAGCCACGGCUAACUACGUG